UACGUAGGGUGCGAGCGUUGUCCGGAAUUAUUGGGCGUAAAGAGCUUGUAGGCGGUCUGUCGCGUCUGCUGUGAAAAUCCGGGGCUCAACCCCGGACUUGCAGUGGGUACGGGCAGACUAGAGUGUGGUAGGGGAGACUGGAAUUCCUGGUGUAGCGGUGAAAUGCGCAGAUAUCAGGAGGAACACCGAUGGCGAAGGCAGUUCUCUGGGCCGUAACUGACGAUGAGGAGCGAAAGCGUGGGGAGCGAACAGG
rnacentral:rRNA from 1 species